AUGUCUUGUUGCAGUGACAACUCCAGAGAGCUCCAGAGCUGCCAAGGAGGUUUUAAGCUUUGCUUAAUGAAAAUCAGCAGUCGAGGCCAAGAGGGAAGAUCUACAUUGAAACAGCAGCAAUCAUACCUUGAUUCACUGUGCAGUCCUGACUCCCACAGUGUGGAUGGCUUACAAUGGAGACGAUGGCAACCUGGCAGUGAUACAGGAGCACAUUGUUUGCAGCUGUAGUGAGAUUUCACUCAGCAUUCUGAUGCAGAGUACUUUGCACUUCAAAUUAAUCAUGCUCCUCUUUGUUCUUGUUGCUUGGGUAAAUAUUUCACUCUUGUAUAGACUUUGAUGGUGAUCUGUGUGAGAAUUGAGGUUCUUAAUUUCCUUCUUGUACAUGCUUACCUACCAAGCAAGCUUUUGUGCCCAAUGCCUUUUUCACACUUGAUAAAAUGAGUCUGUUUCCAUCAUGUAGCAUUGCUUCUUUGAAUAUCUGAAUACAAGUAAAGAAAUCCAUGUCUAUUGCCAAAUGCCCUGGCUGAAUGCCAUCCCUGAUGUUCUGGCUUCAUCCAGAUGACGAAUGUUCCCUGUCAGCCUGCAGCCUAGUGAGAGGGGACAAUGGUACAGAAAUCCUGUAAUUAUCUAAUCAACUUUGCUUAGAAUGUUAAGCAAAUGCAAUUCUUUAAUACUCUGGCUUUACUAUAGCUGUUAAUUACCAUGUGCAAAUGCAAUUUGUACAGCAAAACCGAGUAGAGGAAACGUUCACUUUUAAGUUACUUUACUCCCCUCUAGUGGUCUCAUACCACACAUACGUUUAUGUAACACUUCAUCACCAUGCGUUUAAGGACAGUGUUAGUAUUCUGUAAAACCAGAAGUCUUCUGGUAGCUUCUCAUUCCUUCUGCGCCUCUUCUCUUUCUAUAGAGUAACUUCUUCAGGGAUUGGAAUUCUUGCCAAUGUAUCUCUCUAAGUAAAAUUGUUCUUUAUAUGUUGACUUUAAUUGAAGUCCAAACUAUACCCGCAGCUUUAAAAUCCAUACAUGCAGAAAAAUCUCAAAGCUAUGUAGUAAACAUUUAUUUUCUGUGCCCUCUAAGGUAUUCACAGGGGCUGUAGGUGUCAAUGUCAUAGUGAUUUAAACUGCAUCUAGGGCUGUAGAAACACCAGCAGAACUCAGUCCUAACUGCAGUGCUGCUCUGUGUGUGUCCCAUGGCACGUGCCAGGUUUUGGUGUGUGUCUAACAGUUUUUGGGCUGUGGAAGCUGUGGGACAUAAAGAGCCUGUCAGAUGACUGGGUUCCUCCUUUAAACUUGCCAGUUGGCCAUUUUGUGUACUAUGCAGCUUUCAUGAGGUGGAAAACAGGCAAGAACCUCCAGGACCAGAAUGGAAACUUUUUCUUUUCCUGUAUAUCCCUGGUUCGUUGUUGAAGUUACUGAUGUUGUAAUCCAGGUGUGCAGCACAAGCUACAUUUAGCAAUAGUUAGUGGGUAAAUUCUUGUCUAACUUUUUCUUUGCUUCCUGGAGUCUGUAUUUUAAACAGAAAUGACUUGCUAAUGUCCUUGGAGAAGAUAGAGUAACUAGUAAGAGACUUAUCAUCUGUUUCUGCUUAGGCGGAGAGUAUAAAGAAAAACAUAGAUAGAGGAUUCACUUUUCAGAAGUUAGUUGUUCUUUUCAAACUUCCCACUAGAAAUAUUUCCAUUUUCUUUUAAAAUGCUUUGGACUAAUAUUUUGAAGAAAAUAAAGGGGAAUAAAAAGAGUAUAGGCUCA
ensembl:lncRNA